rnacentral:rRNA from 1 species
CCUACGGGAGGCAGCAGUGGGGAAUUUUGGACAAUGGGCGCAAGCCUGAUCCAGCCAUGCCGCGUGCGGGAAGAAGGCCUUCGGGUUGUAAACCGCUUUUGUCAGGGAAGAAAAGGUUCUGGUUAAUACCUGGGACUCAUGACGGUACCUGAAGAAUAAGCACCGGCUAACUACGUGCCAGCAGCCGCGGUAAUACGUAGGGUGCAAGCGUUAAUCGGAAUUACUGGGCGUAAAGCGUGCGCAGGCGGUUAUGCAAGACAGAGGUGAAAUCCCCGGGCUCAACCUGGGAACUGCCUUUGUGACUGCAUAGCUAGAGUGCGGCAGAGGGGGAUGGAAUUCCGCGUGUAGCAGUGAAAUGCGUAGAUAUGCGGAGGAACACCGAUGGCGAAGGCAAUCCCCUGGGGCCUGCACUGACGCUCAUGCACGAAAGCGUGGGGAGCAAACAGGAUUAGAUACCCUGGUAGUCCACGCCCUAAACGAUGUCAACUGGUUGUUGGGAGGGUUUCUUCUUCAGUAACGUAGCUAACGCGUGAAGUUGACCGCCUGGGGAGGACGGCGCGAGUAGUAACGUAAGUAGUAGUAGAGCGUGAGAGUAGCGAGGACGACGACGAGGGAGGAGG